rnacentral:rRNA from 1 species
GACGAACGCUGGCGGCGUGCCUAAUACAUGCAAGUAGAACGCUGAAGGAGGAGCUUGCUUCUCUGGAUGAGUUGCGAACGGGUGAGUAACGCGUAGGUAACCUGCCUGGUAGCGGGGGAUAACUAUUGGAAACGAUAGCUAAUACCGCAUAAUAGUAGAUGUCGCAUGACAUUUGCUUAAAAGGUGCAAUUGCAUCACUACCAGAUGGACCUGCGUUGUAUUAGCUAGUUGGUGAGGUAACGGCUCACCAAGGCAACGAUACAUAGCCGACCUGAGAGGGUGAUCGGCCACACUGGGACUGAGACACGGCCCAGACUCCUACGGGAGGCAGCAGUAGGGAAUCUUCGGCAAUGGACGGAAGUCUGACCGAGCAACGCCGCGUGAGUGAAGAAGGUUUUCGGAUCGUAAAGCUCUGUUGUAAGAGAAGAACGAGUGUGAGAGUGGAAAGUUCACACUGUGACGGUGUCUUACCAGAAAGGGACGGCUAACUACGUG